GGAGAGGUGGCCGAGUGGUUUAAGGCGCACGCUUGGAAAGUGUGUAAGGUUAAUAGCCUUCGCAGGUUCGAAUCCUGUUCUCUCCA
rnacentral:tRNA from 1 species